UACGUAGGGCGCAAGUGUUGUCCGGAAUUAUUGGGCGUAAAGAGCUCGUAGGCGGUCUGUCGCGUCGGAUGUGAAAGCCCGGGGCUUAACCCCGGGUCUGCAUUCGAUACGGGCAGGCUAGAGUUCGGUAGGGGAGACUGGAAUUCCUGGUGUAGCGGUGAAAUGCGCAGAUAUCAGGAGGAACACCGGUGGCGAAGGCGGGUCUCUGGGCCGAUACUGACGCUGAGGAGCGAAAGCGUGGGGAGCGAACAGG
rnacentral:rRNA from 1 species